rnacentral:tRNA from 1 species
AGGGGAGUCGCCAAGUGGAUAAGGCUCCGGGAGUGAUCCGGCAUGCGAGGGUUCGAGUCCUUCCUCCCCUGCCA